CUGACCUAAACAAGAGCCACUGGAGACUAGCUUCUCGUGAUUGUAAACCUUACCCAAGACAACUGGCCAAUCACAUGAGGCUGAGGGGUAUAAUACUAGAUUAUAUGUGAUAUUUUACAGUAAAUACAGGAUGAGCCCUGGAGCCAUGCAGACCUGGACUUGAAUCUCAGUUCUGUCAUUCACCACUCUGUGACGCACGGAGUGGAUGUCAACCACUGACCCUUAUAGAGCCUCAACUACCUACAAUUAAAAUGAAGAUGACUAUCCCUAUAACAUCGGGCUUUGAUAGGCACAUAAAGAAAAGAUGAGAGUGACGUGUCCAGCAUAGAAUUCAGCUCAUGCGCAAAUGUGGUCAAGGGACUUGGGUUUUACAUUUAUUGCUGAGUCUGGUUUUCUUGAGUUUCAGAUGAUAAAAUUGAAGCCCAGAGAAGCUCAAAAGCCUCAAUUAUUAAUGGAAAAAUCAUAACUAGAACCCAGUUUUCCUGAGACUUUUUUUUUACUAUUCAUUCCACAGCCCUUGGGCCACUCCAAGGCACUGAGCACACUUGCUUUGGCUAUUUAGAGAAACGGCCAAUAGACACAACUGGCUUCAUCUUCAGGGGUGCCCAAUGUCCGGCAGCCCUCAGCCCCCAACAAAGUCUUCGUUGAAAGAACU